rnacentral:rRNA from 1 species
GAUGAACGCUGGCGGCGUGCCUAAUACAUGCAAGUCGAGCGAACAGAUGAGGAGCUUGCUCCUCUGACGUUAGCGGCGGACGGGUGAGUAACACGUGGAUAACCUACCUAUAAGACUGGGAUAACUUCGGGAAACCGGAGCUAAUACCGGAUAAUAUAUUUAACCGCAUGGUUCAAUAGUGAAAGACGGUUUUGCUGUCACUUAUAGAUGGAUCCGCGCCGCAUUAGCUAGUUGGUAAGGUAACGGCUUACCAAGGCAACGAUGCGUAGCCGACCUGAGAGGGUGAUAGGCAACACUGGAACUGAGACACGGUCCAGACGCCUACGGGAGGCAGCAGUAGGGAAUCUUCCGCAAUGGGCGAAAGCCUGACGGAGCAACGCCGCGUGAGUGAUGAAGGUCUUCGGAUCGUAAAACUCUGUUAUUAGGGAAGAACAAAUGUGUAAGUAACUAUGCACGUCUUGACGGUAACUAAUCAGAAAGCCACGGCUAACUACGUG